rnacentral:rRNA from 1 species
CAGUAGCCGCGGGAAUACAGAGGGUGCGAGCGUUAAUCGGAUUUACUGGGCGUAAAGCGUGCGUAGGCGGCUUUUUAAGUCGGAUGUGAAAUCCCUGAGCUUAACUUAGGAAUUGCAUUCGAUACUGGGAAGCUAGAGUAUGGGAGAGGAUGGUAGAAUUCCAGGUGUAGCGGUGAAAUGCGUAGAGAUCUGGAGGAAUACCGAUGGCGAAGGCAGCCAUCUGGCCUAAUACUGACGCUGAGGUACAAAAGCAUGGGGAGCAAACAGGAUUAGAUACCCCCGUAGUCCCUGUCUCUUAUAC